AAGAAUGCUCAUGAACUACUGCACAAUCUCAACUUUAAGAAAAAAUAAGCAGGAUUUAAUCAAACAUUUAUAGGAUUCAAUGUGAUCCACUUCUUAAAGAGUUCACACAGUCUCAUCUUUGUUUUUCUGUUGCUUUUCCUGGCUCUCUCGCUCUGUACUUUGGCUCCUUCGACGAUCGUGUUUGUCUGAAUGGUCCUUGCUAUCACUGUGAUCAUGUUUGUGGGAACGUUCUUUGCUUCUACUACGCUUUCUAGAUCUUUCUUUACUGGGACUGUGGUCUCGUUUUCUUGACUUCUCAACACUAUCUGUUCUUCCUCUGCUUCUGCUUCUACUUCGUUUAUUUGAUUUCUCUUUACUUUCACUUUUAUGCUUACUUGAUUUCUCUUUGCUCCUGCUCCUGCUGCGCUUACCUGUAUUCUUACUUCGGCUUCUACUCCUAUGCUUUCUUUCCCGGCUUCGACUUCUGCUAUGUUUCCUCUCUUUUUUGGAAUCCCUCUUAUCAUCCCGGUGUUUCUUGUCAUCUUUGUCAUCCCUGUGUCUUCUUUCUUCUGUAUCACCCUUACUUUUCCUUUCUUUCGAUCUUUCUCUAGAUCGAUCGCUAUCUUUUUCUCUCUCACUACCUCUAUCCUUAUCAUAAUCUCUCUCUUUUUUUCGGCUGCGUUCAUUUUCUUUCUCUCGCUCCCUAUCCCUAUCUCUUCUCUCUCCUUUCCUGUCACGACUUCGACUACGGCUUCUAUAUCGUUCCCUGCUUCUGCUUCGUCUCCUUUCUAGUGCACGAUCGGUACUUCGAGACCUACGCCUCUCUUUUUCCCUCUCUUUAGCUUCACGUUCCAAUCUCUGACGUUCUCUUUCUCUUUCAAGUUCUCUGUCAAAACUGGAUGACCCGUGGGCUUCCCGAUGAUGACUUCUGCUUCUGGAUCUUCUGGGAGACCUCCUGGGACUGAGGGAUCGUCUUGGAGACCUUGAACGUCUACGUUCUGGAUGCCGGUCUAUUUCUUCCAUUCCCUCUUUGCCAUCUUUCUUUAUUUUUCUGGGUCUGCUUUUAAUUUGCUGGUCAAUAGUCUUCUGGACUGGCACAGGAAUUCUCGGAAACAACGUGGAAAACCAUUCAAGCUUAGUGAGGAAGGAACGAAGCAUCUCCCCAAUGGUCAUGACACAGCCUCCACCUGCCUUCACAUCCAAGUCCUAUAAAAUACGAACAGAAAAUAUCCUGAUGGUCAACAAUACUCUUUAAUGAUUUAAGAAAAAAUGCUGCUACAUUACUGCCCUCUUGAAGUCUCACGAUUACUUAAGUUUACUUGUCUUUUAUUCUAAUAUAUUUCCUUAGAAAAACUCCACACCCUUUGGAUGUGGCAGUAUGUUACAGCUAGGGAGUGGGACUUAGUACAUAUGCAUGCAGGAACAUACUAAUCCUGCACCACCUGGAUGCUAAGGGACUGUCAAUGCAGAGAUUAACACAAAAUCCCCUUACACAGUCCGGUUAUAGAGUAUGAUCUUGUAUUUUAUAUAAAUGCCACAAAGUUGAGAACUUCUCUGAAAAGACAUUUUAUACUUCAUUUUCUGGAUGCACAACUGCGUAACAUCAUACCCAACCCUGUGGCCUAAAUCACUUAAGAACUAUAUCAUUGCCUAUCUAAAAAUGAUCACAGAAAAAUCUGUAGUACAAAAUGGCAUCCUAGCAAUAUUGGAAGCAAUAGCAAACCAACUGCCAUGAAGCAGUGAGGUUUCUAAUUUAGAAACAUGUAAAAAAAUAAAUAAAUGAACAAAUAAUUGGAAACGCAUAAUCCAUGAUGACCAUUGUCUCUGAAAAGGGUCAUUACCGCAUGAAGGCCUUCUUGCUAUGCCCUCUCACAGCUCAGGACAUGUUAGUCAGCUAUUGUCAGUCCCAAACCUAUAGUGCAAGCACACAAGGAAAGUGAGAUUUGUUAUCUAAACAGGAAGAGAAAAUCUAAAUGUAAAACUGCUUGCACUCACACACAUUUAAGUGUUCAGAUAUACAGUAUUUCCAAAUAUAAUCGCUGCAGAGAUCUAAAGAAGAAAAAAAUGAGUUAAACGUAGCACCUGGAGAGUAUGUACAGUUAAACAAAAUAAAUGUAAGAAACAUUUUGAGAAGUAGCUGCGUAUCCUGAGAAGCCUUUCAUUUUCACAGCAGCAUGUCAAAAGAUGAAGUGCUUCCACAUAUUUUACAACUGGAGAAAAAAAAUGCUGUAGGUUUAAAGUCAUUGAUAAAUUUGCUUCAUCCAAUGAGUCUGAGCAGGGCUAAGCAACUUAAGAAAAGCAGCCCCAAGCAGUUUUUCCUAGGUAACACAAUGCUACUGAAAGGAGCUGUGAAUCAAACACUAAUUCCACAAGUACAUUGGAUCAUUUUAAAUUACAAGAAAUAAAUAAAUGCUGAUAACCAAGAACUGCAAGGACUAAAACGUAUGAACUAAAAUAGGUACUGUGAAUAAUGAACCAGUUAAGAUCUGCACAAUGAAUCACAUUUGUGAUUUAUUUAUUGUUCUGGGAAUCAAGCUACUCAUGGAACCCUGAAAACAAUGCUGCCCUAAUUUUCCUCUUAAGUUGUAAUGCAGAGUUCAUAUUAGCUAGUAGCACCAUCUAGGGGAGAAUGAAUAUAUCACAGCUAUGCAAUCAAGAUUUAAAUUUGUUUUCCGUUAAAAAUGUACAAUAGCACAAGUUUACCCGAAAUAACUGUCCUUUGCACAGUGCUUUUGACACUUGGCAUGAAAGAAAACCGUUUAAAAAUGCACUGUAUCGCAGUUAUAGGUAUAAUUAACCCUUUUUUAUAUGGGUAUUUGGACAUCAAUUGAAUUUUCUUGAAUAAGUUGACAACUGUCACACUGAAGAGUUCAAGGCAUCUCUCCCUGUACAACUCUUAAAGCCAGGAUGCAAUUUACAACCUGCUCCAUGAAUACAAAUUCCAACGCUAUGUAAGAGAUUUAACAUUCAACUUGAUAGACCUAAAAACCUCAUCAAAAGGUUCCUACGCCAUUUCUGCAGACAGUAAGUAGGAACAAAGACAUUCUCCUAUCUUACUGCACAGUAAAGCAUCCGCUUUAGUGAAAUUUCCAUGUCAGCACCUCAUGAUGCUUUUCAUUGUCUCAUGAGCAAAAAUGUUAGUAACUCCACUUAAUGCAGAAAUCCAGCUGUUUCUCCUCCCAAGAAAUACAGUCUUUAUAUUCCAAGAUUUACAGAGAGAUUCUAGUAUUUCUUUUUAGGUUAACAUUGUGUUCUACUAUGUGCUUUCCACACUACACCAGUACCAACUCCCCGUCCCAGUAAUAUUCACAAAAGGCAAAAUCAGCACUCUCAGCAUGUGCUAUAGCUUAAAUAUAAUUUUCUCUUAAAAAAAUGCACAGAACCCACACUCAUAAAGCCUACUGUCCACAUUCUGAUUUAAUCAACUUGUUUUACCUGAUGAUAUAUAUAUAUAU
rnacentral:lncRNA from 1 species